rnacentral:rRNA from 1 species
CCCUUAGAUGUUCUGGGCCGCACGCGCGCUACACUGAAGGGAUCAGCGUGUUUUCCCUUCCCGAGAGGGACGGGUAACCCGCUGAACCCCCUUCGUGGUAGGGAUCGGAGCUUGCAAUUGUUCUCCGUGAACCAGGAAUUCCCAGUAAGCGCAAGUCAUAAGCUCGCGUUGAUUACGUCCCUGCCCUUUGUACACACCGCCCGUCGCUACUACCGAUUGAACGUUUUAGUGAGGUAUUUGGACUGGGCCUUGGGAGGUUUCGGCCUCCCUUGUUGCUCGGAAAGACUCCCAAACUUGAGCGUUUAGAGGAAGUAAAAGUCGUAACA